rnacentral:lncRNA from 1 species
AUGUCUGCUCCAGGUGCAACCCAUAUCCCUGUGUGCAUCCCAGGGAUGAUUCUCAAAUACUGCUGUGGUCUUGGUGUCCAGAGUCUCCUUGGCAGCUGCCAUUGUGUGGGGCUUCUGGAGGAUGGGGACCCUGUUCUCUCAGCUCCACCCCCACCACGCCAUGGCCUUGAAGCAAACAUUACCAGGUGUACCCAGCAAGGCUGGUAUCGUCUUUGGAUUCUCUUUAGAAUGCUAUGGGAACAUAGAAAGAUAAAGCUCAAAGUGGAGGGUAAUUUUUGGGUGUUAGAAGUGGAGCAGCUCUCCUGGACCCCAGCCCCCCAGCAAAGCCGCCCUCAGGUACCGUGUGUGGGCUGUAGCGAGUGUGUUGAUUUCUCAUGGGGUUAUGCCCUCCUCAAUGCUUUUGCAGUUUACAUAAUACUAGAUACACAUUAUUUUUCUUUAUCUUCAUACAACCCUACCUUUUCAGCAUUCCAGGGAUUGCCACAAGCCCCACUACCUGGUGCCCAGAAAGACACGGGACACCCUUGGAGUGGAGAACUUGGCUUCUUUGCUGCCCUCGGACUUGGCGCAGGGUAGCGGGCAGCAGGUGCUGUGGAUGGGGCUGGGUAGCAGUGAUGGUGCCAUUUACUCUGCUCCUUUUACCUCCAAGGUUCUUCAUGGUCUGUGACUCCAGGCUUUGAAAUGAUCUCAUUUACCCCACAUGAUAGAUGCAGUCCUUAGAGAUGAGGAGUUCAAUUGCAUGGUAGAGCAGCCAGAGAAUCCAUUAAAAACAAGGCUCAAAAUAAGGAGCAACCACAAAAUGAGGUGAUUUAUAGAGGCGCAUUAACUUGUUUCAUUUGAGAAGUGGCAUUUUAUUGGGUAAAGAGCACUAGGUUUUCAAUCUCAGAGUCAGCUAUAGUUAGGGUUCUGCUAUUUGUCUAAAGAUCUUGGGCAAGAGUGUCUCCUUUCUUCCCUUGCAAAGGAAUGAAUGGGAGUCUCCACCUUAGAAUCUCUAUAUCAUUAUGAAGCUGGAAGUAAAUAAGGGACAUAGACGACCUUUCAAAGUCAGCAAGGGUUAUCCCAAUAGGGUGUUGGUCGAUUUGUCUUUCAAGAAGUACUUCAUGAAAGAAUAUCUCAGGGAUCACAGUUUGACCGAAUCCAGAUUAUUGUUUUGACCUGUAUUGAGGAAAAGACAGGAAUUCAGGAAUUUGAGUGCAUUCAGGGUGAGCUGGCAUUUUUCAGUUCUUGCCUCUCCAUGCAGAGAUGCUGUCUGCUGGUCCCAAAGGAACUGUGUUUGCCAUCCCUGACCAGAACCUCGUCAGAGCCUGCUGCAGCCAGGGGGCUGUGCUUGCCUAAGAGUCAGGAGCAACUGGUCCCAAGUGGGCAUUGCAGGGUUAACUUGUGUAUCUGGCCAAGGCACGGAAUCAAAGUAGGAUGAAUCACCUCUUGUGCAUUUCUCAUUUCAGCCCUCCUGCCACUUUAGCAGUUUCUAAUGUUUAAUUUCCUUGUUUCAUUCCAGAGACAGAGAAUGCUGAUUCACCCUGCGCUGGAACAUGCCUAACGUGUCAAUAGCUAAAUGGCCAGUGACAGUGUGGUUGUCUGGGCAACGGAAGAAGUCACCCACGCAGACACUUAAAGGUGAGCUGUGAGAGUGAAGCACGCGGGAGCUUUUCACUGAGUGAACUCACGUCCUCACAGGGUGAGUGUUCAGACUCACAGGACAGCUCCAAUUAUGGGGAAGGUCAGAGAAUUCUAGGCUCUGAGGAGUCUGAGGCAGCAUUCCAGCUCAUUCCUAAUUUCAUAUUCAGGUUGCUUAAAACAAAAGCUUCAGUAGGAGACAUUCACACCCUUUGCAUGUUACCAGCUGCAAAGUUUGAAAAGCAUUUCCUUCCUUGGUGUCUCUGAGUUGCCCUCAAUGCUUUCUUUCAACCAGCAGGACAGGGGCACUGCGCUUUUGUGACUACUUAAAUCUUGGCAUCAGGCAUGGGGCCCCAGAAGGUGCUAGUGUUUCUGGAACGAUGGAUAUCAGAGCAGGUAUCUUGCACUUGGCCUCCUUGUGCGUCGGUGCCUGGAGUUAUGGGACAGGGAUGAGCAGGUUCCUCCCCGUGAGGAGGUCAUGGGCAGUACGGGAGGCAGAACAGACAAAACUCAACCGGACUAUGACUGUGGCCCUGGAUGACCCAGAGGCCCCAGAAUAUAUUGGGCAAGAGUAUCGUACUUUUUCCUCUGUAAAGGGAGUAAUGGGAAUCCACACACUGUAGUUAUUAUGACAGGAUGUGUGGGUGCGGGUGGGCAGGGGAUUUGAAGAGGCCACUGCAUCCAAACAUUCUUUUCUGCUGAUUAUUUCCUUUAAAUAACUUCUCCUGGAUAUUGCUUACGAGCAGAUGCCUUGCUAGGUGGGAAGGGGGAUGGACAUGGAAAUACAUAAGCCAUCAUCUCUGUUUGUGGAAGUCAAGGUCAGGUGUGGAGAGGGCUGAGCAGGUGAAACUGAGUCUCCAGGUUGGGGCAUGACCCAGGGGCUGAAAGGGGCUCUCCCUGUACUGGCGGGGAGGAUUCUCUUCUUUCCUGCUCUGUGGUUGCACAUGGCCCGCCAACCCUUUCUCUGCCACACGGUGAUGCAGUCAUGGGUUGUCCACUGAUUGAUCUCUGGCAUCUGUGGUCCUCCUCAAGGGAGGACACAUGUUGGGUCAUCUUUUUCUGUGAUCUUUGUCCCUGCUGUGCCUGACCAUGCUGCUGGUGGUCAGGAGGGAGCCAAGCUCACAGGUGUGCCCAGGUGUUUGGUAGGGUAAAUGCCUGGGCUGACACUCUACAACCUUGGGCUUGAGCUUUCCCAUCUGUAGGACAGGAGCAGGGCCAGCAUCCUAGGUUUGUGGUGAGGACUGGUUGAGGGUCCACACCAGGCUCCUGGAUGUGGCUGGCUGACCAAGGCUGGGUAACACUGGUUGGCAACAGGGAAGAACAGGAAUUGAGAGCAAACCAACGUGAACUUUUAUAGCGGUUAGGCAGAGUAAUUUCAUAUCUGUUGAAUCUAACAGAAAUUGAGAUUUGUGUUUUGUCUUCCUUCAUUUUAUUUUUCUAGGACCUUAUGUAUUUUAUGAGAGGAACAGUUUUCAGUGAAACAGAUAUUAAAACACACACCUGGAUCCCUUUACCACAGGUGCUUUGAGAGGCACCAUCAAGGACAGUGAUCUAAUGCAGGUAACUCAGGUACCAGGGCAGUGAGUUAACUCAGGUAAUAUAGCUAAGCCAGGCUCCCCAGCUCACACAGCCAACACCUGGCAGUGGGCUAACACAGUUAACUCAGAUGCUCAGCUUGGGCACACCCCCAAGGCCCCCGCUGCAGUGGUCAGGUGGCUGUUUACAUGUGUCUGUGUCCUGGCAGGAGAGGGGACCCUCAGAUCCUCCCUCAGCCACCUAGGGCAGACAUCCUCCACGUGGCUUCAGCUGCAGCUGUCAGUUGAUUGGCCAGCCAGGCCGUACUUGGGAUAGUCUACCUGGUCCUCGAUGAGGCCCAGCCCCUCUGACAAGCAUUUGGAGGUCUGAUUAUUUGCUCAGCCUGUCUGCUGCUGUCAUAUGCUAGUAUUGGUGCGGCAGCUGCUUCUCUGAGUCCUAGUGUAGGAACGUCCUGGAGACGAGGCCACUGCCUAUGGGAGACCCUGCAGCCUGGAAGGGAAGGUGCCUGUGUGGUCCAGCCCUAGCGGCAGAAACUUGGGUCUGCUCUGUGUUUUGUCUACAAGUGUCCGCUUGCUUCCUCACUGACAACAGAAGUCCAAGAGAGUCAUAACAACUGACUAAAUAACACAGAGUCUGAGCAAAUGUUACAGAAUGCGGGAAAUUGCAAUGAAAUUCUGGAAAAGGAAAUAUGCUCAACUGAGACAACGUGGAACCUUGCUUCUGAAGGAAGGGGUAGGGUGCCAUCUGGAAAGUUCUAGAAGACAAAGCACUAGCAAAAGGCAAGAACGUACUGUGAACAACUCAGGAGAGGGAUUCUGCAUUUUUUUUUCUCCACUAGGACAAUCCUGUACUGAAGAGAACAUGGGGCUCUGGGCAAACCCUUCUCUCCCCCGAAUCUCACUUUUUUUCAUUUUGUCUGGAGUGGGGCAGCCAUGGGUGAGAUGCUGCUAAAGCCCCUUCCAGGACCCAUGCUGGGAGUUUUCUUUGAAGGGACACAGUGGCUGCUCCUUUCUGCCCUGAUGGCUUCCUCAUUCCUCUUCCUCCCUUGCCAGCCCACAUCAUCUCCCUGGAACUUUGCUUGAAAUUGGCUCAGAGGCUGCCUCCAUACCUACAUUCCUACUGUGCUGUAAAUACAAAAGGAUUCUUGCCAGAUUGGGUGGAGUGGGGUGGGUCUUACCCCUCCCAAGAGAAGUCUAUGAACUCUGACUCAGUGAAUUAAGGAGAACCACUCCUCAGGUGUGAAGAACACAUACACCGCUGUGUUGAAGGUGGUGCCUGGCAACCCCGAAGCAGCCCCCAGGAGCCCCAGGAGCAGCCGUUGGGGGAUGAGCCGCAUGUGGUCCAGUAACCUGUGUCAGGCUGGCUUGCUGGAUGUGAGGGCCCUCACGUUGGUUUAGCAAAAUUUAGCUAAAAAAUAUUCAAACUACCUUAGCAGCAAAAAUACUCUUCUUCAAACAAAAUCUUAUACGGAGGCUGAAUUUAUAAAAUUCCUAUAUUAAAGACAGCAUUCUGCAAAUGCCUUUGUGAUUUCCAAUUGAUGACACUUACUUAUUUGGAAUUAAGCCAGGCAACAAAAAUGUAAAGGAUCUUUUGAUCAAAUUGGAUACUUUCAGUUAUUUCAAUGUUUUCCCAUCUUGACUUUCCUCAUGUGGUUCCAAAAAAUUCCAAUUCAUAAAGAUAAGUAGCAAUAUAAUAAUUUUUAUAAUUUUCUUGAACGGGUAUGUCCAGUUCUAAAUUUCGGGGAAAUAAAAGAACUUCCUAAUCAAAGACAUGCCUGAAAGAAUUUGACUUGAACUCGUAAUAUCUGAGAUGAUGGAUAUGCUAAUUACCCAAAUCUGACCACUGUACAUUCUAUGUAUGGAAGCUUCGCUCUGCAGCCCAUACAUGUGUAUGACUAUUAUGUGCCAAUAAAAAAAAGAAACUUGAAAUACACUUGUGUAGGAGUAAUGGAGCAUUUUUUAAAAUUGAGGAAAAAUUUGCAUAUAAAAUUCACCAUUUAAACCAUUUUAAGGUAUAAAAUUCAGUGAUUUUUACAUUCACACUGGUGAGCCACGACGGUCUCUAUCUAACUGUAGAAUAUGUUCAUCACCCCCAAGAAAACGGUUUCUAUUAAGUAUGCGUAUUUUCACUCCAGUUUUGAAGUAGUUAACACAGAUUGAAAUGAAAUGGAGGCAAACCAGAAUAACCAAGAUGGUUUUAGGUCGUGAUAGACGCCAUGAAGGGAAAGUGAUAGAUAAUGAGAGGGAGGAAAGACGCUUGAUUGAAGACCCAGAUAAUGGGACGGUAUCUGCAAUGUGAGGGACCAAGGAAGGCCCUGAAGGAGGGAAAGGGAGGGUGUGCUGGGGCCCUGAGGCAGGGAUGAAUUCAGCAGGUUUAAGUGUGGGAAUGAGGUCUGUGAG